GGAAGAAUGGCAGAGUGGCCGAAUGCGUCUGUCUUGAAAACAGAAGUUGGGAGACCAACCGGGGGUUCGAAUCCCUCUUCUUCCG
rnacentral:tRNA from 1 species